GAUGAACGCUGGCGGCGUGCCUAAUACAUGCAAGUCGAGCGAACAGACGAGAAUCUUUCUCCUCUCUCAUUUUCGGCGGACGGGUGUGUAUCACGUGUAUAUCCCCUCUCUAUGACUCUGAUAACUUCUGGAAACCCCAGCUAUUACCGCGUAUUAUAUUUAACUUCAUGUUUCACUAUUGUAAGACGCUUUUCUUCUCACUUUUAUAUUUAUCCGCGCCGUAUUAGCUAGUUUGUAAGGUAACGGCUUACCAAGGCAACGAUUCGUAGCCGACCUGAGAGGGUGAUCGGCCACACUGGAACUGAGACACGGCCCAGACUCCUACGGGAGGCAGCAGUAGGGAAUCUUCCGCAAUGGGCGAAAGUCUGACGGAGCAAUGCCGCGUGAGUGAAGAAGGUUUUCGGAUCGUAAAACUCUGUUAUAAGGGAAGAACAAAUAUGUAAGUAACUAAGCACGUCUUGACGGUACCUAAUCAGAAAGCCACGGCUAACUACGUG
rnacentral:rRNA from 1 species